GAUACUGAUGACAAAGCCUGCCGGGCGGUAAUAACGGAUAGAUCGUAAAGACGCUGUGAAUACAUCCCUGUACGCUCGAACCGCGACAUCCUUGUCGCGGACGCUUU
rnacentral:ncRNA from 1 species